rnacentral:rRNA from 1 species
UGGGGAAUAUUGCACAAUGGAGGGAACUCUGAUGCAGCGACGCCGCGUGAACGAAGAAGGCUUUCGAGUCGUAAAGUUCUUUUAUAUGGGAAGAUAAUGACGGUACCAUAAGAAAAAGCCCCGGCUAACUACGUGCCAGCAGCCGCGGUAAUACGUAGGGGGCUAGCGUUGUCCGGAAUCACUGGGCGUAAAGGGUUCGCAGGCGGAAAUGCAAGUCAGGUGUAAAAGGCAGUAGCUUAACUACUGUAAGCAUUUGAAACUGCAUAUCUUGAGAAGAGUAGAGGUAAGUGGAAUUUUUAGUGUAGCGGUGAAAUGCGUAGAUAUUAAAAAGAAUACCGGUGGCGAAGGCGGCUUACUGGGCUCAUUCUGGCGCUGAGGAACGAAAGCGUGGGUAGCAAACAGG